rnacentral:rRNA from 1 species
AUGAACGCUGGCGGCGUGCCUAAUACCUGCCAGUCGAGCGCACAGAUGAGGAGCUUGCUCCUCUGACGUUAGCGGCGGACGGGUGAGUAACACGUGGAUAACCUACCUAUAAGACUGGGAUAACUUCGGGAAACCGGAGCUAAUACCGGAUAAUAUAUUGAACCGCAUGGUUCAAUAGUGAAAGACGGUUUUGCUGUCACUUAUAGAUGGAUCCGCGCCGCAUUAGCUAGUUGGUAAGGUAACGGCUUACCAAGGCAACGAUGCGUAGCCGACCUGAGAGGGUAAUCGGCCACACUGGAACUGAGACACGGUCCAGACUCCUACGGGAGGCAGCAGUAGGGAAUCUUCCGCAAUGGGCGAAAGCCUGACGGAGCAACGCCGCGUGAGUGAUGAAGGUCUUCGGAUCGUAAAACUCUGUUAUUAGGGAAGAACAAAUGUGUAAGUAACUAUGCACGUCUUGACGGUACCUAAUCAGAAAGCCACGGCUAACUACGUG